AUAUUGCGCAAUGGCCGCAAGGCUGACGCAGCGACGCCGCGUGGAGGAUGACGCCCCUCGGGGUGUAAACUCCUGUUGCUCGGGACGAACCAUGGGUUUCGACCCAUCUGACGGUACCGAGUGAGGAAGCACCGGCUAACUCCGUGCCAGCAGCCGCGGUAAUACGGAGGGUGCAAGCGUUAUCCGGAUUUACUGGGUUUAAAGGGUGUGUAGGCGGAUAUUUAAGUCAGAGGUGAAAUCUCCGGGCUCAACCCGGAAACUGCCUUUGAUACUAUUUAUCUUGAAUUUCGUUGAGGUUGGCGGAAUAUAUCAUGUAGCGGUGAAAUGCAUAGAUAUGAUAUAGAACACCGAUUGCGUAGGCAGCUGGCUGAACGACGAUUGACGCUGAGGCACGAAAGCGUGGGUAGCGAACAGG
rnacentral:rRNA from 1 species